GAUGAACGCUGGCGGCGUGCUUAACACAUGCAAGUCGAACGGAAAGGCCAGUGCUUGCACUGGUGCUCGAGUGGCGAACGGGUGAGUAACACGUGGGUGAUCUGCCCUGCACUUUGGGAUAAGCCUGGGAAACUGGGUCUAAUACCAGAUAGGACCAUGCUUUGGAUGGUGUGGUGGAAAGUUUUUUCGGUGUGGGAUGAGCUUGCGGCCUAUCAGCUUGUUGGUGGGGUAAUGGCCUACCAAGGCGUCGACGGGUAGCCGGCCUGAGAGGGUGUACGGCCACAUUGGGACUGAGAUACGGCCCAGACUCCUACGGGAGGCAGCGGUGGGGAAUAUUGCACAAUGGGCGCAAGCCUGAUGCAGCGACGCCGCGUGGGGGAUGACGGCCUUCGGGUUGUAAACUCCUUUCGCAACUGACGAAGCUUUUUGUGACGGUAGGUGGAGAAGAAGCACCGGCUAACUACGUG
rnacentral:rRNA from 1 species